CUGAGUGGGAAAUAUGGUUAGCCUCUGUAGUAUCUAUGUGGAAGUCCUGACCUCGCUUGCAGACUUGACCUCUGGAGAAGGAAAGCUCUUCAUCUGAGAAAUGAGUUAGGUUCAUCUUCCUUGGACAUUCUAGCAUCCUUAACUUUCGGUCCAGCAAGCACAAGAGCUGAAUCAGCGAAUAGAGUGAACGAACACUCAGGAUGAGAUGGCUGCUGCUGAUGGGUCUGUCUCUCUAGGUCACUACCUCUCUUCCAACUGCAAAUGCUGCAUGAUACUAAGCUUACAGCCAUUCUUUUGAAAAUGUGUCUGUAAGACACUUUAGACAGAUUUUAAUACUUAAAAUCAUACAAUCUACAUUAGAAGAAAAGUAUUAAUUGAAUAAAAGCAGGAAAUUUUUAUUAGGAUGUAGUUUAUGAAAAACUAUUUUCCACUGGACUACGUACUUUUAGAACUCAGAAGCACAAACAAGUCACGAAAGAAUUCUGCUGAGAAGACCAAGAUGAAACCUUUCCAAUUACAGAAAUACACUCUGCAAAACUUCAUCAGGUCAAUGAAUCAUACAAAGGUGGCCAAACCAGGAAGAAGAGCAACAGAGUCUGGAAUGACUAUGUCCAGCAAGGACAAUGAAGUGUAGUAAGCCUUAAUGCCAAAUCUGCAGGUAAUAAAUCACCAAGAGGGAAGACGGGAAGAAGCAACAUUUCUUUUGGAAUGACCUUCAUGUGGCAAAUUAAGCUGGCAAGAAAGAGGACUUUGUUUUGAAAACUGCCACAAUAAAAUAUGAAACAAAAUAUGCCAUUCCAAAAACAGUUUGUAUUUAUGUGAAGGAAGAAAGAUUUCUUUUAAGAAAAAGGUAAAGAAAAGUAUGAAUAUUUUGGUUCACUUUCUUCCAUUUUAAAGCAUGCUUUCUCAAUUUAAAUACUUUUUUAAAACAAAAAAAGAUUCAGUGAUUCAGGUGACUAAAACUUGAGAACAAAAAAAAAAAAAGAGAAAGUCAUCUUAGCACAAAAAGAAAAAAAUGUCUUACUUUUAAAUCUGGUAUCUACUAAUAAUGUUUUGAUUCAAUUAUUACAUUUUAAUUUAGGUAUGUCAUAAUAAAUUUUUUUGAUUUUUUGGUCAAAUUCUAGCAUACAAAAGAAAGGUUUACUUAUUCAAAAUUUUUAGCAAAAUGCUUGAAAUAAAAAUAGCUGCUGAAAUUGACCUAUAGACA